GGAAUGUCGCGAAACUCACCGAGUCACAGCAUUUCGCCAUUUGCGGAAGAAGUUUGAUGUGGAACAAGUACCAGAAGCAUACAUGCUCAAGAGGCAUCACCUGAAAUUCAAAGGCAAUUGAAUUUCAGCAACCAGGGCAUCGAAGUUGGAAUGUCGCGAAACUCACCGAGUCAAAGCGUUUCGCCGUUUGCGGAAGAAGUGUGAUGUGGAACAAGUAGCAGAAGCAUACAUGCUCAAGAGGGAUCACCAGAAAUUCAAAGGCAACUGAAUUUCGACAACCAGGGCAUCGAAGUCGGAAUGUCGCGAAACUCACUGAGUCAAAGCGUUUCGCCGUUUGCGGAAGAAGUUUGAUGUGGAACAAGUACUAGAAGCAUACAUGCUCAAGAAGGAUCACCCGCAAUUCAAAGGCAACUCAAUUUCGGCAACCGGGGCAUCGAAUUCGAAAUGUUGCGAAACUCACCGAUUCAAAGCGUUUCCCCGUUUGCGGAAGAAGUCUAAUGUGGAACAAGUACCAGAAGCAUACAUGCUCAAGAGGGA
rnacentral:lncRNA from 1 species